CGGUAAUACGUAGGGUGCGAGCGUUAAUCGGAAUUACUGGGCGUAAAGCGUGCGCAGGCGGAUUGUUAAGCAAGACGUGGAAUCCUCGGGCUUAACCUGGGAAUGGCGUUUUGAACUGGCAGUCUAGAGUGUGUCAGAAGGGGACGGAAUUCCACGUGUAGCAGUGAAAUGCGUAGAGAUGUGGAGGAACACCAAUGGCGAAGGCAGCCCCCUGGGAUAACACUGACGCUCAUGUACGAAAGCGUGGGUAGCAAACAGGAUUAGAUACCCUGGUAGUCCACGCCCUAAACGAUGUCAACUGGUUGUUGGGGGAGUGAAAUCCCUUAGUAACGAAGCUAACGCGUGAAGUUGACCGCCUGGGGAGUACGGUCGCAAGAUUAAA
rnacentral:rRNA from 1 species